CCGGCGACCGGCGGACGGGUGCGUAACGCGUAUGUGACCUACCUUUGACAGGGGGAUAACAUCGAGAAAUUGGUACUAAUACCCCAUAACAUCACCGGAGGCAUCUUCGGUGGUUGAAAACUCAGGUGGUCAGAGAUGGACAUGCGUUGUAUUAGCUAGUUGGUGAGGUAACGGCUCACCAAGGCGACGAUACAUAGGGGGACUGAGAGGUCAACCCCCCACAUUGGUACUGAGACACGGACCAAACUCCUACGGAAGGCAGCAG
rnacentral:rRNA from 1 species